rnacentral:rRNA from 1 species
UACGUAGGGUGCGAGCGUUGUCCGGAAUUAUUGGGCGUAAAGGGCUCGUAGGCGGUUUGUCGCGUCGGGAGUGAGAACUCAGGGCUCAACCCUGAGCGUGCUUCCGAUACGGGCAGACUAGAGGUAUGCAGGGGAGAACGGAAUUCCUGGUGUAGCGGUGGAAUGCGCAGAUAUCAGGAGGAACACCGGUGGCGAAGGCGGUUCUCUGGGCAUUACCUGACGCUGAGGAGCGAAAGCAUGGGGAGCGAACAGG